UACGGAGGGUGCAAGCGUUGUCCGGAAUCAUUGGGCGUAAAGCGUUCGUAGGCGGCAUAUCAAGUCUGGUGUUAAAGCCCGGGGCUCAACUCCGGUUCGGCACUGGAUACUGGUAAGCUGGAAUGCGGUAGAGGUGAAGGGAAUUCCUGGUGUAGCGGUGAAAUGCUUAGAUAUCAGGAGGAACAUCGGUGGCGUAAGCGCUUCACUGGGCCGUUAUUGACGCUGAGGAACGAAAGCCGGGGGAG
rnacentral:rRNA from 1 species